CAUUAUAAUUUAUUAAAUACAUAAGCUAACUACAUUAACAACUAAUGUAUUACAAUUUUUGUAGAACUAGCAACCUGAAAAAUUCCUGCCUAUUUUGGACAAAAUUAGUCCAUCAAAUCUUGGUCUCUCUCAUGUUAAAAAGUAGGAACCCAAUUUUCCAGCUUUUGAGUCUGCUGAUUUGGCCAACUAGUGACCAAAACUGCAGGUACUAGCCCAUGGUUUGCCAACAUCCUUAAGUGAUAUUAAGGAGAUAACAUAUUAUUCAUUUAAAAUAAAGAAGAGAAGAUAGCAUGACUUUAAUAAAAACAGCAUUCAAGAUCAGCUUUAAAACAUAUAGCAUUUGGCUAAUAGAAAUAGACCAAAUAGUGAGAGUCAUGUUGAUUCCUUUCUAUGUUAAAAAAUAAAUUCAAUUUUAUUCAUAUCAAGCCAAUCAAACAUCAUAUAAAACAUUGUACAUGUAUUACAAGCUCAUUAAUAGUAUAUCAUUUCAGAAAAAACCAACAGUAUAUGAGGAAGAAAUGAAGGCAGUAUCUCGAAUAAACAACAAUAAGAAACCAACAAUUAUAAGAUGAAAAACUGGUUGAAAGCUCAAAAGAAAAUGAGCGGCAACAGAAACCAGAUAGCCAGCAACCAAAAAUCAAAACCAAACUUCAACAACAUCUAACCACACUAAAACCCCAAAGAGAAACCAAGAAGCUUUCACUUUCAAACCAUAUUUUCAGCUUAAGAAGACUAGAAGAAAUCAGGGAGGUCUUUGACUAUUUUUUGCUAAAUCAAAUAUCAAAGGAAUAUCAGCUUUUAAGAACACAAUAGCUGGAAUUUUAAGAGUGUUUUUCAAGGUUUUCCAUCUUAUUUUCUAUAAGAAAAGGUACUAUAUAUAAGCGCCAAAGAUGUCAUGUGCUGAAAGAAUUAUUCCAUCAGCUACAAAGAGCAUAUUCUAACAGAAUUGGAGAGCUGGCUGUCCUUCAUUGUUCUCAGUACUUUGAGCUAACUAAAUGAGGCCAGUUGUCACCCCAUUCUAGAACAUUCUAGUAUGGAUUCUAUCCAAUUUCAAAAUUAUCUACCCCUUUAUGACCCCCUUGAGUUUUCUUUUGUUCAAUUCGCCCCCAAGAAGUUCCUACUGAUUCACAAAUUUAGGCAAACAAAGAUAAGACUGGAAAGGAUCGGAAUACAAAUCAAAAUGGCAAACAAAAAUUAAAAAUGAUGCAAUUUAGACUAAGAACCUAAUCAGUAAAGGAAAGUGUUUUAUCUAAUUAAACCUAAAUAAAACGAAACUUAAACGGCUAAUGGAUUUUUCACAGUAACUAAACCAAAUUAUUAGGAAAAACUACAAAGAAAUCCUAGAAGUUAAAUUACUCAAUUUAUGAAUUAACAUGUGAAAAUUUAGAAUACAUGAGAGGAGCAGUUAAACAAGAGAAUUGAAAAAAAGACAGAAUAAACAAUUCACCAUUAGUUAAUCUAAACAUGUGCAAAAUUGAAAUGAAGUCCUAGCAUACUUUAAUUAAUCUAAUGAAUAACGUGUAAACAAACAAAUAACAAUUUAAAAUAAGAAAACCCCUAAAAUUAUGCGGUUAAAUAGAAAAAAUUAAACACGAAGAGGAAUCAACAAAGAAAAAAGAAAAAUAAAGAAAAGGUGGAAGAAGCUAUUCAUUUUUAAACCAAACUGGACAAACUAACAAAUCUUAGCCAAGCUUUGAAAGGUAAAAUGAACAUUGAACUAACAUUAAUCGACGGUUCUCAUCAAGAACAGUCGACUAAUGAAAGCUUGGGGUUCAAUUGACCAAACUAUAACCGAAAACCAACAAAGGGUACAAGAUUAGGGUUCAGAGGACCUCAUAUUUGAAAUUCGAAGAAAUUGGCUAGGAUUUUCGGGAAAUUAAUUGUAGUUUAGGGUUCAGAGGGGUGUGAGGAGUGUGGGGGUGUGAUUUUGGGGCAGCUUGGGUGAUUUAGGGUUUUAGGAUUUCGAUCUUAGAUGUAAGAUUCGAAGAGUUUGGUAAUGAUUCGAGGGAAUUGGUUUGGAGAUUUAAAAAGGGUAGGGAAAUAAGAUUAUAGGAUGUAAUUUUGUUAGAGUUUGGGUGUCGCCUGCGUUGUGGAGCGAUUUCCGGCGGCGGAACAAGGCGGCGCCAGCGAGGGGAUUUAGGGCGGCUAGGGUUUGGUUUCUUCAGGUGAGAGAGAUGAAAUGGUGGAUGUCUUUUGGGGUUGGGGGGUGUUUCAGAUAGUAAUAUAACAAGGGGCUAA
rnacentral:lncRNA from 1 species